CCUCUUCUCUUUCCCCCUCUCCUAAAUCCCUAAAACAUUACUCUGUAGUUCUCUUCCGCCAACGCCGCCUGCAAACCGCCAACGCCACCUUGCCCAAUUGUCCGAAAAAAUAGCGCCUCUCACUGGCCAAAAGAAGAACAAAGUAGAACUUAGAGGUGCACCCCAAUUACCUAAUCGUCUACCCUUCUAUCGCUUCCCAGUUCCCCCAACUCCCCAAGCCCUAACUCAGCCGACAGCCAGACUCCGCCUCCGCCCUUGCUGAGUCCCGACCACAAAGCUCCUGUCGACUACACCGGAGGACUUCGCGUCUCCUCUCCGGUCUCCGCCUUCGCCCAAGCUGCGGCCUGGUCUCCGCCUCAGCCCCUGCCGACGAGGAAGCUACUACCCGGUCUCCGCCUCCGCCCCUGCCGACGACGAAACUACUGCAUGUUCUCUGCCUUAGCCUCACUUGUGAACCAAGAAUGAGUGUAGUGAUAAGCAGAUGAAAGCAUCAUAAUCCAAUAAGGUUAUCAAAAAAGCCCUUGUUCUUGAUGAAAUAAUCAAUUAUAUACAGUCACUACAGUCUCAAGUUGAGGUGUUUCAUGGAAUAUCAAGUUUUAGCUGAGUUGGUUCAGGUGUUAUGUCUAUGUUUCCCAUUUUGAUCAAAUCUGGAUAUUUCAUAUUAAGUUACCUAGCUUGGAUGGCACGAAUUUUUUGAAUUUCUGACCUUUAAUGUCAGGAGGUACUCUUGGUCAAAGCUCUAAAGAACCUAAAUACAUAAUUGAAUUUUAUCCAGAAGACACCUUUUCUCCUUUUCCUCUGCAUAUAUGUGAGGGCAAUUUUUUGAGCUUGUAUAACUGUGAUGAUGCAGCAAGGGAACUAGGUCUACACUUGAUCAACUUCAUUGAAGGAGGUUGUGGAUGCUGCAUUGAUCAAAGCCAUUGAAGCAGUGCUGGAUUUGAAGGCUUAUUUGGGUGCAGCGAGCAUACUUAUGUAGUAUCAAAUAAGUAUAUUUUCAUACUUAAGUAGUACGGAGUAUCAAUCAAGUAGUAUAUAUUUUUUUAUGUUUUUUUUUAUGAACAUGAACAUAAUUUUUGU